rnacentral:rRNA from 1 species
UGGUGCGCGAGAUGAGUAUUCUAAGGCGCUUGAGAGAACUCAGGAGAAGGAACUCGGCAAAUUGACACCGUAACUUCGGAAGAAGGUGUGCCUUUAGUAGGUGAACCUGUACAAGGGGAGCCCAAUGAGGUUGCAAAAAAUCGGUGGCUGCGACUGUUUAAUAAAAACACAGCACUCUGCAAACACGAAAGUGGACGUAUAGGGUGUGACGCCUGCCCGGUGCUGGAAGAUUAAAUGAUGGGGUGCAAGCUCUUGAUUGAAGUCCCAGUAAACGGCGGCCGUAACGAUAACGGUCCUAAGGUAGCGAAAUUCCUUGUCGGGUAAGUUCCGACCUGCACGAAUGGCGUAACGAUGGCCACACUGUCUCCUCCUGAGACUCAGCGAAGUUGAAAUGUUUGUGAUGAUGCAAUCUCCCCGCGGAAAGACGGAAAGACCCCAUGAACCUUUACUGUAGCUUUGUAUUGGACUUUGAACAGAUCUGUGUAGGAUAGGUGGGAGGCUUUGAAGUGUGGUCGCUAGAUCGCAUGGAGCCAACGUUGAAAUACCACCCUGGUGUGUUUGAGGUUCUAACCUAGGCCCGUAAUCCGGGUCGGGGACAGUGCAUGGUAGGCAGUUUGACUGGGGCGGUCUCCUCCCAAAGCGUAACGGAGGAGUUCGAAGGUACGCUAGGUACGGUCGGACAUCGUGCUAAUAGUGCAAUGGCAUAAGCGUGCUUAACUGCGAGACUGACAAGUCGAGCAGAUGCGAAAGCAGGACAUAGUGAUCCGGUGGUUCUGUAUGGAAGGGCCAUCGCUCAACGGAUAAAAGGUACUCUGGGGAUAACAGGCUGAUACCGCCCAAGAGUUCAUAUCGACGGCGGUGUUUGGCACCUCGAUGUCGGCUCAUCUCAUCCUGGGGCUGUAGCCGGUCCCAAGGGUAUGGCUGUUCGCCAUUUAAAGAGGUACGUGAGCGGGGUUUAAAACGUCGUGAGACAGUUUGGUCCCUAUCUUCCGUGGGCGCUGCAGACUUGAGGAAGCCUGCUCCUAGUACGAGAGGACCGGAGUGGACACACCUCUGGUGUAUCGGUUGUCACGCCAGUGGCAUUGCCGAGUAGCUAUGUGUGGAAGAGAUAACCGCUGAAAGCAUCUAAGCGGGAAACUCGUUUCAAGAUGAGAUCUGCCGGGGCCUUGAGCCCCCUAAAGAGUCGUUCAAGACCAGGACGUUGAUAGGUCGGGUGUGGAAGCGCAGUAAUGCGUUAAGCUAACCGAUACUAAUUGCUCGUGCGGCUUGAUC